rnacentral:sRNA from 1 species
GCUGGGCGUAGUGACAUACACCUCUAAUCCCAGUAGCUUGGGAGCUGAGGCAGGAGGAUCAUAAUUCUCCUUUGGGAAUUUAGGAGGCCCUUAGCAACUCAGAGACCCUGUCUCUA